AGGCGAAGAAAAAUCUGUUUAUGUUGGAAAUGUUCCCGCAUCCCUCACAGAAUCCGACCUUGAGCAAGAGUUCAAAGACUUUGGGAGGCUCAAGCCUGAUGGUGUUGCCAUCAGGAGCCGCAAGGACUCGGGUGGUUAUUAUGCCUUUGUCGAAUUCGAGGAUGUUACUGGUGUAAGAAAUGCACUGAAGGCCUCUCCAUUAAUUAUAAAAGGCUGGCAGAUAUAUGUAGAGGAGAGAAGACCUAACAGCAGCAUGGCUCGGGGAGGAAGACGGGGCAGAGGAAGGGGUGGUUACGGGUCAGAGGCCCCGAGGGGGCGCUUCG
rnacentral:misc_RNA from 1 species